rnacentral:pre_miRNA from 1 species
GUUAGUGAAUAGUGUUCAGCACCAGAGGACAGGUAUGUUUACCUGUGUAGUGAAUAGUGUUCAUCACUAGGGACAGGUGUGUUUAGCU